rnacentral:rRNA from 1 species
UACAAACAGUAGGAGCGGACUUGUUCCGUGACUGCGUACCUUUUGUAUAAUGGGUCAGCGACUUACAUUCAGUGGCAAGGUUAACCAUAUAGGGAAGCCGUAGAGAAAUCGAGUCCGAACAGGGCGCUAGUCGCUGGGUGUAGACCCGAAACCAAGUGAUCUACUCAUGGCCAGGAUGAAGGUGCGGUAACACGCACUGGAGGUCCGAACCCACU